AUAUCAAUAAGCGGAGGAAAAGAAACUAACAAGGAUUCCCCUAGUAACGGCGAGUGAAGCGGGAAGAGCUCAAAUUUAAAAUCUGGUUUGCUUGCAAAUCCGAGUUGUAGUCUGAAGAAACGUUUUCCUUGAAAGCUGAGGCACAAGUCCUUUGGAACAGGGCAUCAUAGAGGGUGAGAAUCCCGUCCAUGGUCUCAAGCAUUUCAUUUUGUGAUACGUUUUCUAAGAGUCAGGUUGUUUGGGAAUGCAGCCUAAAAUGGGUGGUAAAUUUCAUCUAAAGCUAAAUAUUGGCGAGAGACCGAUAGCGAACAAGUACCGUGAGGGAAAGAUGAAAAGAACUUUGAAAAGAGAGUUAAACAGUACGUGAAAUUGUUGAAAGGGAAACGCUUGAAGUCAGUCGUGUCUGCUAGGGAUCAAGUUGCCUUUUGGUGACCGCACUUCCUAGUCGGAUGGGUCAGCAUCAAUUUUGAUCGUUGGAUAAAGGCCUAGGGAAUGUGGCAUCCUCGGAUGUGUUAUAGACCUGGGUUGUAUACAAUGGUUGGGAUUGAGGAACUCAGUGUGCCUUCAUGGUUGGGGCUUCGGCUCACACUUGCACGCUUAGGAUGCUGGCAUAAUGGCUUUAAUCGA
rnacentral:rRNA from 1 species